rnacentral:rRNA from 1 species
UCGGAAUCUGGGAGGACCAUCUCCUAAGGCUAAAUACUCUCUAGUGACCGAUAGUGAACCAGUACCGUGAGGGAAAGGUGAAAAGCACCCCGGAAGGGGAGUGAAAUAGAACCUGAAACCGUGUGCUUACAAGUAGUCAGAGCCCGUUAAUGGGUGAUGGCGUGCCUUUUGUAGAAUGAACCGGCGAGUUACGAUUUGAUGCAAGGUUAAGCAGUAAAUGUGGAGCCGUAGCGAAAGCGAGUCUGAAUAGGGCGUUUAGUAUUUGGUCGUAGACCCGAAACCAGGUGAUCUACCCUUGGUCAGGUUGAAGUUCAGGUAACACUGAAUGGAGGACCGAACCGACUUACGUUGAAAAGUGAGCGGAUGAACUGAGGGUAGCGGAGAAAUUCCAAUCGAACCUGGAGAUAGCUGGUUCUCUCCGAAAUAGCUUUAGGGCUAGCCUCAAGUGAUGAUUAUUGGAGGUAGAGCACUGUUUGGACGAGGGGCCCCUCUCGGGUUACCGAAUUCAGACAAACUCCGAAUGCCAAUUAAUUUAACUUGGGAGUCAGAACAUGGGUGAUAAGGUCCGUGUUCGAAAGGGAAACAGCCCAGACCACCAGCUAAGGUCCCAAAAUAUAUGUUAAGUGGAAAAGGAUGUGGCGUUGCCCAGACAACUAGGAUGUUGGCUUAGAAGCAGCCAUCAUUUAAAGAGUGCGUAAUAGCUCACUAGUCGAGUGACACUGCGCCGAAAAUGUACCGGGGCUAAACAUAUUACC